AAAAAAAUCUAAUCAACUCUUCCCUAUCUCCUUCCACUCUGCUCAUUCUCACUCACUCCACCAUUACAAAACCUCCUAAUCCAAAACCCAUGUCUCUCCCCAUCACCACCACCUUCCUCUUCUCACCACCAUACAAGCUCCCCACAUUCACCACCCCACACUCCUCACUCCUCUUCCCCUCCCCACCGCCACUCCUUCUCAAACGCACCAUUCCCACUCCCACCCCUCUCCGACGCAACAACCCAUUCCUCACCCGCGCUGACGACGGCGACGGCGACGGAGCCGACCCCGACGACUACGACAUGGACGAGGACGAGCUCGAGGAAGUCGACAACAAGAAAGACUUCGACAUCGAGUACCACUCCGAAUCCACCUCGCUCUCUGCUACCGCCGACGAAGACAUCGACAUGGUACAGAGCAAGACUUUUGUGUCAACACAAGGUUGGGACUCCGAGAUGGUUGUCGAUUAUAGGAUCAACGAGGAAGAGUUCCAUAAGAUUUCCUUGCUUCACUGCGAUUUCUUUAUCAGAAAACCCCCUGACCCAGAUAACGAUGUCUAUGAUUUCAGAGAGAUGUAUGUUACUCCUCCUGAUACUGAUGUUUAUGCCAUUCCCAAAGUGCUUGCUCCAAUGCCUCAAAAGUACAUUCGCUGUGCAAUGAGUGAUUAUGGAUGCUACAAUGUCACAGAACCGCCCAUUGAUGCGCCUCGAGAUCCAUUAUAUAAAACCGAGAGGGAGAUCUUUAAGGUUUUCUUGACAAAGCACUAUAGGAACCGGAGGUUGGAUGACCCAGAGUUCGUGCUUGAUUUUGAGGAGAUUUAUGUUAUUGAUUCCCAAACAAAAUCAAUUACCAGAGCUAAAGUUUUGGUCACAGUUCCAGGAGGAAGAAACAGAGAUAGAAAGAGUGACUUGCUUGUAAUACGAGAUAAAGGGAGCUCCUUCAAAAUAAUUCCUCUGAGCGAGAGAGAUAAUCCUUCCACUGUGAUAGAGAGACAAGAGUGGGACAAGACCAGGGAAGACAUGGAGAAACAUCUUAGAAAGCUACGGGACUUCAGCGUUUCAAAUUGGUUCUAGUCACUCUGCAGAUUUUCAAGAUUGCUUCAUGAGGAUUAAUGAGAGCCACAUAGAGAUUGUUUGGAGGUAAGCGCUUGUAAAUAUAUUGACAUUUAAACUUCAGCAUAUGUUAGCAAUAUCGGCAUAGAUGACCCCUUCUGCAAGGAAUUGCUGCUGAUUAGAUUGAAGUUCCUUGGAUUCAAUGAGUUCUGGGCACUUCACCAACUUCCUUUUUUGUAUCUGUGGAGCCCAGCUGAGCAGAAUUCUGAAAGUCAGGCUUAGCAUCACAUAUCCAAAAGCUUUAUGCAGACACCAUAUGCAGGCUUAUUGUUCAACACCAAAGACCCAGUGCCAGUUAGAUUCGGUUGAUUAAUGGAUCUUAUUUAAUUCUAGUUAAAUUAUUAAUAUUUGGUUGUUCAACUAUGAUAUAAAGUUCAAUUUAAUCCAUGAACUUAAAAUUUUCCUCUGGAAAAUUGCAUGGAAUGCAAUCCCAGCUCUUGAGAUGCUUAGGAACAUAUUUGAGAUUGAAGAUAUUACUUGUUUGCUAGUUAUGGGGACUUGGAAACUGCGGAGCACCUUUUCAUUUCUUGUCAUGUGGCUCAAAUAGUGUGGUCUUUGUCUGAUUGGCCAAUCAAUUUCCAUGAGUUUGGAUUAAA